CAACCUCCCAACGAGACUGAACCAACCCUCGGUGUGACGCGCCCCAGAUCCUCUUGAUCCGGCAAUUAACCUCACCACUCCCCAUCCAUUUCUCAUCUCCACCGCUCUUCCCUCCCCUGCCGGACGGACCUUGCGAAAGGCAGAGCAUUUCUUUCCUUCCCUUCGCCGGCCGGCGCGUCUCCAGGCUCCAGGCUGCAGCAUACUACUGCAAUUGCUUUGCAGCUCCCAUGGAGCUUGCGGUGAGAGCCGCGGCGGCUUCCUGCUCCUCCUCCUCCCCGUCGCUCCAUCCCCCACGCGUCCCCUGCCCCCUUGGCAGCAGGCCGCAGCCCAGGCUUGCCGCUGCCGGCUCGCCGGGUGACCGUCGCCGCGGCGGCCAUCGCCCUCGACUCGGCAUAUACCUACGCCACUAGCUGAUUCUCAUCUCAGGGAAGGCAAGAGAACGCGCUGUGGGAACCAUUGUCGCCCACCAAAUGUUUGGCGUUAUGCCUAGCCGGGGCUUUGGCAGGAACCAAGCUUUUUUCAGGAGAUCAAAACUGAGCUGAAUGAUGCCUCAAAGACCGAGGUGUUCGCAUGCCCUGUUUGCUAUGAACUGCUGAUAAGGGCAGGCUUCUAAAGUCCAUGAAUUAUCUUCAUCUCUCAUGCAUAUCUGGUUGCUGGAUUAAGAUUUAUGCUGUUUUGGCUUCUACGUGUGUCGCAGGCCAGCGAUUUGUAGGUCCGGAUUCAAGAGUUAAAAAUGCAAUCAUUCUCCAGCAAAGAUGUUUUUUUGGAUCUCACUGUCACCUCAGGAAUGAAAGAAUACAGUGAACAUAAGCCUGCUAGAACCGAGCUGUUCGAGAGCCUGCUCAUCUCUUUUCUUUAUGAGAGGGGGUGGCGUCAGAACUUCAAUCGGAGUGGCUUCCCUGGCCGUGAUGAAGAGAAAUGCAGGCCAGCUCCAUUUUGAUUGAAAUGAAACCAAGCAUCCACCUAGUCAUGCAUGGUGUCUAGCAUGAAUAUGUGAGCUGAUCGAUCAAACAAGGUAAAUAUAUAUACCUGGCUUGGGAGAGGAUCAGCGAAGAUGGGUGCCGAAAUCUCCAGUUGUUCCAUUGUCUCAGUGAGAAGCGGCAAAAGUCAAUGUGUUUAUUUAAUAGUCCCUCUGUUCACAAACUUAAGAUGUUGUGGAUAUUUCAACAUGGACUGAAAUGAGUGAACAAACACACGAAAACAUCUUUAUAUAAAUCCAAUUCAGAAAGAAGUUAGAACAUCUUGUAUCUGUGAACGGAGGGAACACCACGUACUGUAAAUUACUUGUUCCAUCCAGUAGUACAUACUGUACAUGGAUGGUAA